CUUGUCAACAGUAUCGUGAAAUUUCCAGCUAAAAUAAGGAUACUCACUGGGUGCUCUGACUGUGUCAGGAACAGGGGUAAGUGCUGGCAAUAUUUAGGCAAAUAUGACAAGGCCCCUGCCCUAGAGAAGCUCAUCUUGAUGAGACACGUAGCCAGAUACACAUUCAUAGCACAAUAUGGUAAGUGUCAUAGUAGACCUUGGUGCCAAGUUUGUCAGAAUCCAUUUAUUCCUGGACUGAUUUAACACUAUCUCCCUAAAUGAUUAUAACAAACUUAUAUCUUAUGCAUUGAUAUUUACUGAUGUUUUUAUUAAUUUGUUCAUUCUUUACACCUUUGGAAUUCAGAUAUGGGCCACAGUAGAUUGCCUGUCUCACUAAUUUAUAGUCAAUCCUUGGUUUUUUGACCGCCCCCCGCCGCCCCUGAUAGCAUUAACCAGUUUGUAUUCCUCUGCUGGUCAAUGAAGACAGAUAAUCACUGUUUUUGAUCACUUUCACAUCCAUCUUCAAAAGAUGAUCUACCCCAACUGAAGAUACUUAAAACGAUGUGAACAAAUUUUUGAAGACAAUUGCAGGAGGUAAAUUAGAAAGAUGAAAAUAAUACCUUAAAGAAAGCAUCUGUAGUCUCCCAAGGCCAAAGAACAACAGCUGGCUGGGCUCAGGAGCAAUCUUACUUCCUUUACUGCUCCAGAAAGGACACCGAUGGGAGGAUGUGGUGGUGAUGGUGGAGGCAGAGCUGUGAAGAACUGAGAGGCUAUUAGAAAACCGCAGUGGAACAGUGGCUGGGGAAAAGGAUUGUAUUUGCUGGGGCUGCUAUUGAAAAGUACCGUGAACUGGGUGGCUUAAACACCAGAAAUUAUUCUCUCACGGUUCUGGAGGAUUAAAGCCCAAAAUCAAGGUGUGGGCAGGGUUGGUUUCCCUGAGAGCUGCGAGCGAAGGAUCUGUUCCAGGCCUCUGUCCUUGGCUGAUUUCCUGGCAAAUAGAAAAAGCUCUCUUCGUCUUUAAAGUUCAUGACAGAUUCCCUAAGUGUUUGUAAAACAUCUGCCAACCACACUGAUGGGCUCUCACACAAAGGUUUUGGAAAUACAGACUGAUUUCCUUUGGUUACUACAACUGAUUUUUUUUUUUUUUUUUUUUUUGGUUACUACAAUUGAUUUUAUCUCUAUAAUUUUCUUCUCUGUCAUCUUAUUUUAAACAAAAACCGUGGCACAAAAAUAAAGUGAUGGCUUUUGAGGAAAA